rnacentral:misc_RNA from 1 species
AAGUCGUAACAAGGUUUCCGUAGGUGAACCUGCGGAAGGAUCAUUACAGGGUUAUGCCGAGCACCCUUUCAGCUUCUCUCUGAAGCCCCCGAAAGGGCUCUGGCAGCCACGAUCAUCCACUGUGUGCACUCAUUGAACCAUGCUUUGGCAGACUCCUUUUCUCUCCUCGCCUAAGGGGGGAAAGCCACCGGGGGGGGCCCCGCCCCCCCCCCACGGUCUGCCAGAGGUUUUUACUUAAAUAUAGCCUGAUUGUCUGUCUGAAUAUUUUUUUUUGAUCGAAACAAAAAUACAACUUUCAACAACGGAUCUCUUGGCUCUC